UACGAAGGGGGCUAGCGUUGCUCGGAUUUACUGGGCGUAAAGGGCGCGUAGGCGGUUCGGCAAGUCUCUAGUGAAAUCUCUGGGCUCAACUCAGAGUCUGCUGGGGAAACUGCCGGGCUUGAGUGUGGGAGAGGAGAGUGGAAUUCCCGGUGUAGCGGUGAAAUGACGGUAGAUAUCAGGAGGAACACCGAGUGGCGAAGGCAGAUCUCUGGGCCGUAACUGAACGCUGGAGGAGCGAAAGCCGUGGGGAGCGAACAGG
rnacentral:rRNA from 1 species